rnacentral:rRNA from 1 species
UACAGAGGUCCCAAGCGUUGUUCGGAUUCACUGGGCGUAAAGGGUGCGUAGGUGGUGAGGUAAGUCGGAUGUGAAAUCUCCCAAGCUCAACUUGGAAACUGCAUUGGAAAACUACCUUGCUAGAGGAUUUGAGGGGGGAUUGGAAUACUUGGUGUAGCAGUGAAAUGCGUAGAUAUCGAGAGGAACACCAGUGGCGAAGGCGAGUCUCUGGACGACUCCUGACACUGAGGCACGAAAGCUGGGGGAGCAAACAGG